GACGAACGCUGGCGGCGUGCUUAACACAUGCAAGUCGAACGAUGAAGCUGGAGCCUGCUCUGGCGGAUUAGUGGCGAACGGGUGAGUAACACGUGAGAAAUCUGCCCUUGACUCUGGGAUAACUGCGGGAAACUGUAGCUAAUACCGGAUACUUUCCCUGGUGGGCAUCCACUGGGGAAGAAAGAAUUUCGGUCAAGGAUGAUCUCGCGGCCUAUCAGCUUGUUGGUGAGGUAAUGGCUCACCGAGGCGACGACGGGUAGCCGGCCUGAGAGGGUGACCGGCCACAAUGGUACUGGGACACGACCCAGACUCCUCCGGGGGGCAGCAGUGGGAAAUAUUGCGCAAUGGGCGCAAGCCGGAUGCAGCAACGCCGCGUGAGGGAUGAAGGCCUUCGGGUUGUAAACCUCUUUUAGCAGGGAAGAAGCGAAAGUGACGGUACCUGCAGAAAAAGCACCGGCUAACUACGUGCCAGCAGCCGCCGUAA
rnacentral:rRNA from 1 species